GACGAACGCUGGCGGCGUGCUUAACACAUGCAAGUCGAACGAAGUGGCGAACGGGUGAGUAAUACGUGGGUAACCUGCCCUCCUUUUUGGGAUAAGCCUUGGAAACGGGGUCUAAUACCGAAUAAAGGGGGAUGGGCUCGCGGCCUAUCAGCUUGUUGGUGGGGUGAUGGCCUACCAAGGCGGUGACGGGUAGCCGGCCUGAGAGGGUGACCGGCCACAUUGGGCCGUGGAUACGUCCCAGACCUCUACGUGAGGGAGCAGUGGGGGAUAUUGCGCAAUGGGCGAAAGCCUGAUGCAGCGACGCGGCGUGAGUGAUGACGGCUUUCGAGUUGUAAAGCGCUGUUAAUCUGGACGCGGUACCGGAAUAGAAAGCCACGGCUAACUACGUGCCAGCAGCCGCGGUAAUUC
rnacentral:rRNA from 1 species